AUCUUUCAUCAAAGUAAGAAUGACCUCAGAGAGGUCAGAGAUCUGGUUCCAUCAAUGAACCAGCAAGCCCAAUAGGACCUGGGGACAUAUGCAGGACCACAGCAGAUAUGGUUUUGCUGUGUGCAACCAUUUCCAUAUUUUAUAAGUUCAUAAAAUCCUGACAAUUCUUUGGCUUUCCUGGAAGAAAGGAAGGAUGGAAGGAAGGAUGGAAGGAAGGAAGGAUGGACGGAAGGAAGGAAGGAAGGAAGGAAGGAAGGAAGGAAGGAAGGAAGGAAAACAUUCCACAUGAGUUCCUUGCUUUCCUGCCCUAUCACUCAAUGUCUCUUAUCCGCCCCAUCUUUCCUUUUGUGUUUUUUGUCUAUUUUGUUUUGUUUUUAUUUUUGUUUUUAUGAUAUAGAAUAAAGCAUCCUUCCACCUUUUUA